rnacentral:tmRNA from 1 species
AGCAUGUAGACCUCGUAGCGGAGGACUUGCGGACGCGAGUUCGAUUCUCGCCACCUCCACCA